UCAAGUGUCUUAAGAGCAUUCGGUGGAUGCCUUGGCGCUGAGAGGCGAUGAAGGACGUGGUACGCUGCGAUAAGCCUUGGGGAGCUGCGAACGAGCUUUGAUCCAGGGAUUUCCGAAUGGGGAAACCCACCUUCGACCUUCUGUAUUUUAGGUUCAGGCGCGAGCUUGGAUCUCAAAUACAGUUGGUCAUGUGAAGGUAUCAAAUCCUGAAUCCAUAGGGGUUUGAAGCGAACCCGGGGAACUGAAACAUCUAAGUACCCGGAGGAAAGGACAUCAACGAGACUCCGUCAGUAGUGGCGAGCGAACGCGGAUCAGGCCAGUGCCUGUGUGGAGUUUAUCGGAACGGUCUGGAAUGGCCGGCAAGAGUGGGUGACAGCCCCGUACGAGACGGACGACAUACAGGACUCGAGUAGGGCGGGACACGUGAAAUCCUGUCUGAACAUGGGGGGACCACCCUCCAAGCCUAAGUACUCCUCAGCGACCGAUAGCGAACAAGUACCGUGAGGGAAAGGUGAAAAGCACCCCGACGAGGGGAGUGAAACAGUUCCUGAAACCGGAUGCUUACAAACAGUGGGAGCUCAAGGUUCGUCCUGGGUGACCGCGUACCUUUUGUAUAAUGGGUCAGCGACUUAAAGUUACGAGCAAGCUUAAGCCGGUAGGUGUAGGCGCAGCGAAAGCGAGUCUGAACAGGGCGUUCAGUUCGUGGCUUUAGACCCGAAACCGAGUGAUCUAGCCAUGUGCAGGAUGAAGGUGGGGUAACACCCACUGGAGGUCCGAACCAGUGCCCGUUGAAAAGGUCUUGGAUGACGUGUGGCUAGGGGUGAAAGGCCAAUCAAACUCGGAAAUAGCUGGUUCUCCGCGAAAGCUAUUUAGGUAGCGCCUCGCGUGAAUACCCCAGGGGGUAGAGCACUGGAUGGGCUAGGGCCGCCCACAGCGGUACCGCACUCAACCAAACUCCGAAUACCUGGGAGUACUGCGCGGGAGACACACGGCGGGUGCUAACGUCCGUCGUGAAGAGGGAAACAACCCUGACCUACAGCUAAGGCCCCCAAUUCGUGGCUAAGUGGGAAAGGAUGUGGGAAUCCCAAAACAACCAGGAGGUUGGCUUAGAAGCAGCCAUCCUUUAAAGAAAGCGUAACAGCUCACUGGUCUAAACAAGGGUUCCUGCGCCGAAAAUGUAACGGGGCUCAAGCCACGAGCCGAAGCUUAGGGUGUGAUCCGCAAGGGUCACGCGGUAGCGGAGCGUUCUCUAGGCCUGUGAAGCGGUACCUGUGAGGGGCCGUGGAGGUAUGAGAAGUGCGAAUGCUGACAUGAGUAACGACAAAGAGUGUGAAAGACACUCUCGCCGAAAGUCCAAGGGUUCCUGCGUAAAGUUAAUCUGCGCAGGGUUAGCCGGCCCCUAAGGCGAGGCCGAAAGGCGUAGUCGAUGGGAACAGGGUGAAUAUUCCCUGGCCAGCGGGUGGUGACGGAUGCCGUAUAUCGUUUGGUCUUAACGGAUUGACCAGGCGGUGAAGGGGUCCCAGGAAAUAGCCCCCGCGUGAGACCGUACCCUAAACCGACACAGGUGGACAGGUAGAGUAUACCAAGGCGCUUGAGAGAACUAUGCUGAAGGAACUCGGCAAUUUGCCUCCGUAACUUCGGGAUAAGGAGGCCUGACUUUUACGCAAGUGAGAGUCAGGGGCACAGACCAGGGGGUGGCGACUGUUUAUCUAAAACACAGGGCUCUGCGAAGUCUGUAAGACGACGUAUAGGGCCUGACGCCUGCCCGGUGCCGGAAGGUUAAGAGGAGAGGUGAGAGCUUUGAAUCGAAGCCCCGGUAAACGGCGGCCGUAACUAUAACGGUCCUAAGGUAGCGAAAUUCCUUGUCGGGUAAGUUCCGACCUGCACGAAUGGCGUAACGAUC
rnacentral:rRNA from 1 species